AGUGAACGCUGGCGGUAGGCCUAACACAUGCCAGUCGAACGGCAGCACAGUAAGAGCUUGCUCUUACGGGUGGCGAGUGGCGGACGGGUGAGGAAUACAUCGGAAUCUACUUUUUCGUGGGGGAUAACGUAGGGAAACUUACGCUAAUACCGCAUACGACCUACGGGUGAAAGCAGGGGAUCUUCGGACCUUGCGCGAUUGAAUGAGCCGAUGUCGGAUUAGCUAGUUGGCGGGGUAAAGGCCCACCAAGGCGACGAUCCGUAGCUGGUCUGAGAGGAUGAUCAGCCACACUGGAACUGAGACACGGUCCAGACUCCUACGGGAGGCAGCAGUGGGGAAUAUUGGACAAUGGGCGCAAGCCUGAUCCAGCCAUACCGCGUGGGUGAAGAAGGCCUUCGGGUUGUAAAGCCCUUUUGUUGGGAAAGAAAUCCAGCCGGCUAAUACCUGGUUGGGAUGACGGUACCCAAAGAAUAAGCACCGGCCAACUUCGU
rnacentral:rRNA from 1 species